rnacentral:rRNA from 1 species
AUAAUACUCCAUAGAUUAGAGACACUGGAAUGUUCUUUAGUCGAAAGUUCUGGCGCCUUAGGAUGGAUCUGCGGUCGAUUAGGUUGUUGUUGGGGUAACGGCCCAACAAGCCUGUAAUCGAUACGGGUUGUGGGAGCAAGAGCCCGGAGAUGGAAUCUGAGACACGAUUCCAGGCCCUACGGGGCGCAGCAGGCGCGAAAACUUUACAAUGCAGGAAACUGUGAUAAGGGAACUCCGAGUGCCCGUAUACGCGGGCUGUCCAGGUGUUUAAAAAUCAUCUGAAGAAAGGGCCGGGCAAGACCGGUGCCAGCCGCCGCGGUAAUACCGGCGGCUCGAGUGGUGGCCACUAUUAUUGGGCUUAAAGCGUCCGUAGCUGGACCGAUAAGUCUCUUGGGAAAUCCGCCGGCUCAACCGGCGGGCGUCUAAGGGAUACUGUUAGUCUAGGGACCGGGAGAGGUGAGAGGUACUCCGGGGGUAGGAGUGAAAUCCUGUAAUCCCCGGGGGACCACCGAUGGCGAAGGCAUCUCACCAGAACGGCUCCGACAGUGAGGGAUGAAAGCUGGGGGAGCGAACCGGAUUAAAUACCCGGGUAGUCCCAGCCGUAAACUAUGCGCGUUAGGUGU